UUUUAAUGUUUUUGGGGUUGGGGUCAGGCCAUCUUAUGAACAAUGGAUCCGCCGGCAACUUCGCUCGCCAAAUUGCUUGCUUUGUCAUGCGGCGGCUCCUCUCCACCGGGGCCAUGUCUUCCUCUUCCCCUUAUUCGUCGUUCCUACCAGGUAAAAACCCUAGCUCGAUCCGCCUCACGCAUCAGCGGCGACUCAAUGGUGUUCGUUUCUCUUUUCCCACCCGCUUCGUCGUCGUCGGUUCUUCCGUACGCUGCCUUGCCUCAUUCUCACCGGCCGAGCGAAUCAAAGUCCACAACCCCAUCGUUGAGAUGGAUGGCGAUGAGAUGACGAGGGUCAUCUGGAGGAUGAUAAAAGAAAAGCUAAUUUUUCCAUUUCUCGAAUUGGACAUCAAGUACUUCGAUCUGGGCCUCUUGAAUCGUGAUGCCACCGACGAUCGGGUAACCGUAGAAAGUGCCGAGGCAACUCUCAAGCACAAUGUUGCUGUGAAAUGUGCAACAAUUACACCUGAUGAAGCUAGAGUUAAAGAGUUUAAGCUCAAAUCUAUGUGGAGAAGCCCAAAUGGAACAAUAAGGAAUAUUUUAAAUGGAACUGUUUUUCGUGAGCCUAUUCUUUGCUGCAAUGUGCCACGCAUUGUUGCUGGCUGGAAGAAACCUAUAUGUAUUGGUAGACAUGCAUUUGGAGAUCAGUAUCGUGCUACUGACAUGAUUGUAAAAGGUCCUGGAAAGCUUAAAAUGGUUUUUGUCCCUGCAGAUAAAGGUCCACCUGUGGAGCAAGAUGUUUAUGAGUUUAAAGGCUCUGGUAUUGCAUUAUCUAUGUAUAAUGUGGAUGAGUCCAUUCGGGCUUUUGCUGAGUCAUCAAUGUCCAUGGCAUUUGCAAAAAAGUGGCCACUUUACUUAAGCACCAAAAAUACCAUAUUGAAGAAAUACGAUGGCAGGUUUAAGGACAUUUUUCAGGAGGUUUAUGAAGAAAAAUGGAAGUCAAAGUUCGAAGAACAAUCAAUAUGGUAUGAGCAUAGGCUGAUUGAUGACAUGGUAGCUUAUGCAUUGAAAAGCAGUGGUGGUUAUGUGUGGGCCUGCAAAAAUUAUGAUGGAGAUGUCCAGAGUGAUUUCCUCGCCCAAGGAUUUGGUUCGUUGGGCUUGAUGACGUCUGUAUUGUUAUCAUCUGACGGGAAAACAUUAGAAGCUGAAGCAGCACAUGGGACUGUGACUCGCCAUUUUAGGCUCCAUCAGAGAGGACAAGAGACUAGCACGAACAGUAUUGCAUCCAUAUUUGCAUGGACACGUGGUCUUGAGCACAGGGCAGAGCUUGAUAAACAUGAAAAACUACAAGACUUUGUCCAGAAGCUCGAGUCCGCAUGCAUUGAAACAGUGGAGUCUGGUAAAAUGACCAAGGAUCUUGCACUUCUUAUCCAUGGUCCAAGAGUGUCCAGAGAAUUCUACUUGAACACCGAGGAGUUUGUUGAUGCUGUUGCUCAGAACCUUGAAGAGAAGAUCCAAGUAGCAGCAGUUAUUUAAAUGCUUUGUUAGUUUUCAAGAUGGCUGAUGUUUUUUCUCAAAAAAAAAAGAAAAAAAAAAGAGAGAAAAAGAGUUGGCUUUGAAGAGUAAGUCAAAAAGUUACAGCAUCCGAUGAACAUGAAGGCUAUUAAUAAUGAGGUUUUGUCUAUGCAGCAGACGGAUAUCUGAAAAAAAAUAGUUGGUUGUUGCUCUGACAACAUAUCAGGAAUAACAAUGGAAAAACAUUUCAUAAAAUGCCAACUACAGUAUCUUCGCAUCAUACAAGUCAUCUGAACGACGGCAUCGAAGCAAAAAACUGACAGCCAAAUGUUCUGACUGGCUUAAGAAGCCCUUGAAAUCAUUUUGAUCUUUAUCGAAAGCCCCGAAGAUCAGCGUGACAAUGUUUCAUGUCAGAUUAGAUCUAAUUCAAAUUUGAAACUGUAUGGCUCCGAUUCACAUAAUUUUAUUUGUUUAUUUAUAAACUUUGAUUUCAGCUCUAA